rnacentral:rRNA from 1 species
UACGUAGGGAGCAAGCGUUGUCCGGAAUCAUUGGGCGUAAAGCGCGCGUAGGUGGCCCCAUAAGUCCGCUGUGAAAGUCAAAGGCUCAACCUUUGAAAGCCGGUGGAUACUGUGGGACUAGAGUACGGAAGAGGCGAGUGGAAUUCCUGGUGUAGCGGUGGAAUGCGUAGAUAUCAGGAGGAACACCGGUGGUGUAGACGGCUCUCUGGACCGUAACUGACGCUGAGGCACGAAAGCGUGGGUAGCAAACAGG